GCGGUCGUAGCUCAGCGGUAGAGCGCUUGGUUGUGGUCCAAGAUGUCGCGGGUUCAAACCCCGUCGAUCGCCCCA
rnacentral:tRNA from 2 species